GUGCUCGCUUCAGCAGCACAUAUACUAAAAUUGGAAUGAUACAGAGAAGAUUAGCAUGGCCCCUGCACAAGGAUGACAUGCAAAUUCGUGAAGCAUUCCAUAUUUUU
ensembl:snRNA Gm23648 predicted gene, 23648